rnacentral:rRNA from 1 species
AUUGAACGCUGGCGGCAUGCCUUACACAUGCAAGUCGAACGGCAGCACGGGGCAACCUGGUGGCGAGUGGCGAACGGGUGAGUAAUGCAUCGGAACGUACCUUUCAGUGGGGGAUAACGUAGCGAAAGUUACGCUAAUACCGCAUAUUCUGUGAGCAGGAAAGCAGGGGAUCGCAAGACCUUGCGCUGAUUGAGCGGCUGAUGUCAGAUUAGCUAGUUGGUGAGGUAAAGCCUCACCAAGGCGACGAUCUGUAGCGGGUCUGAGAGGAUGAUCCGCCACACUGGAACUGAGACACGGUCCAGACUCCUACGGGAGGCAGCAGUGGGGAAUUUUGGACAAUGGGGGCAACCCUGAUCCAGCCAUGCCGCGUGAGUGAAGAAGGCCUUCGGGUUGUAAAGCUCUUUCGGCCGGGAAGAAAUCGCACGGGCUAAUACCCUGUGUGGAUGACGGUACCGGAAUAAGAAGCACCGGCUAACUACGUGCCAGCCGCCGCUGUAAAAC